rnacentral:rRNA from 1 species
GAAAGGUGCUUGCACCUUUCAAGUGAGUGGCGAACGGGUGAGUAACACGUGGACAACCUGCCUCAAGGCUGGGGAUAACAUUUGGAAACAGAUGCUAAUACCGAAUAAAACUUAGUGUCGCAUGACACAAAGUUAAAAGGCGCUUCGGCGUCACCUAGAGAUGGAUCCGCGGUGCAUUAGUUAGUUGGUGGGGUAAAGGCCUACCAAGACAAUGAUGCAUAGCCGAGUUGAGAGACUGAUCGGCCACAUUGGGACUGAGACACGGCCCAAACUCCUACGGGAGGCUGCAGUAGGGAAUCUUCCACAAUGGGCGAAAGCCUGAUGGAGCAACGCCGCGUGUGUGAUGAAGGCUUUCGGGUCGUAAAGCACUGUUGUAUGGGAAGAACAGCUAGAAUAGGAAAUGAUUUUAGUUUGACGGUACCAUACCAGAAAGGGACGGCUAAAUACGUGCCAGCAGCCGCGGUAAUACGUAUGUCCCGAGCGUUAUCCGGAUUUAUUGGGCGUAAAGCGAGCGCAGACGGUUUAUUAAGUCUGAUGUGAAAGCCCGGAGCUCAACUCCGGAAUGGCAUUGGAAA